rnacentral:lncRNA from 1 species
AUGGGGUACCUAUGGGAGAGAUGCCCUCUAGGAGGACGUGCUCACUGCGCCCUAUGCCCCAGCCUCUCUGCUAAUGCCCGGCCCGACAGCCACCAAGCUGUGAGGAGUGACAAAGCUUUGUAUUCCUUACAGAGAUCUCAGCCGCCCAGGCGACCCCUCCCCAGGUGUGGAUGCGGUCCUCAGAGCAGGAUCGAGGGAACUGGGGAAGACCACAAGGGCUGUCAUCUCGGGUACCUGGAGGAAGCCCCAGGCUGCCCCGCCGGGUGGGGUUCUCAGGGCCAGGAUCCAUCAAGAACCAGAGAGUCGGGACCCCUGGGUGGCGCAGCGGUUUGGCGCCUGCCUUUGGCCCAGGGCGCGAUCCUGGAGACCCGGGAUCGAAUCCCACAUCGGGCUCCCGGUGCAUGGAGCCUGCUUCUCCCUCUGCCUAUGUCUCUGCCUCUCUCUCUCUCUCUCUCUGUGACUAUCAUAAAUGAAUAAAAAUUAAAAAAAAAAAAAAAAAAGAACCAGAGAGUCUGGAAGGGCCUUCUGGGUCAUUUGACCUAAGGAGUAAAGAUGCUCAGGGAGAAGCAGCAGAGACGCCGUGGGGGAGCCCCACAGACCACUGGUGUCUCACACACGAGCGUCCUAGGCCAGACCAGAUCUGUGCGGCCGCCGGGGGCCCGCAAUCCUCUAUACAAGGGGCUUGGGCCACCCCGGUUUGCAAGGGGAGGGCGACAGGACUGCAGCAGCAGAGAAGUGCACGGAUCUGUUAGGGUGGAGGGUGUC